CCCUUAGAUGUCCUGGGCUGCACGCGCGCUACACUGAUGUGUCCAGUAAGCACCUAACCUCUUCCGAAAGGAACGGGUAACCUUUGCAAAGCACAUCGUGAUGGGGAUAGAUUAUUGCAAUUAUUAGUCUUGAACGAGGAAUUCCUAGUAAGCACAAGUCAUCAGCUUGUGUUGAUUACGUCCCUGCCCUUUGUACACACCGCCCGUCGCUCCUACCGAUUGAAUGAUCCGAUGAAUAUCAUGGAUUGAGGAUGCAAGCAGGUUCGCCUGUCUUCAUCUUCGAGAAGUGAAGUAAAUCUUAUCAUUUAGAGGAAGGAGAAGUCGUAACA
rnacentral:rRNA from 1 species